AGCGAACGCUGGCGGCAGGCUUAACACAUGCAAGUCGAGCGGGCAUCCUUGUGGUGUCAGCGGCAGACGGGUGAGUAACGCGUGGGAACGUGCCCUUCAGUUCGGAAUAACUCAGGGAAACUUGAGCUAAUACCGGAUACGUGCGAGAGCAGAAAGGUUUAUCUGCCGAAGGAUCGGCCCGCGUCUGAUUAGCUAGUUGGUGAGGUUAUGGCUCACCAAGGCGACGAUCAGUAGCUGGUCUGAGAGGAUGAUCAGCCACACUGGGACUGAGACACGGCCCAGACUCCUACGGGAGGCAGCAGUGGGGAAUAUUGGACAAUGGGGGCGACCCUGAUCCAGCCAUGCCGCGUGAGUGAUGACGGCCUUAGGGUUGUAAAGCUCUUUUCUCCGGGACGAUAAUGACGGUACCGGAGGAAUAAGCCCCGGCUAACUUCGUG
rnacentral:rRNA from 1 species